rnacentral:rRNA from 1 species
UACAGAGGGUGCAAGCGUUGUUCGGAAUUAUUGGGCGUAAAGGGAGUGUAGGCGGCUUGUUAAGUCUUCUGUGAAAUCUACGGGCCCAGCCUGUAACGUGCAGAGGAAACUGGCGAGCUUGAGUGUCGGAGAGGAUAGGGGAAUACCCGGUGUAGAGGUGAAAUUCGUAGAGAUCGGGUGGAACACCAGUGGCGAAGGCGCCUAUCUGGCUGACAACUGACGCUGAGACUCGAAAGCAUGGGGAGCAAACAGG